rnacentral:lncRNA from 1 species
CGGGACACUAAAUUUGAAAAUAAAAAUCACAAUUUAGUUGAGUGUCCUUUUAUUUUUCAGUCCCAGACGAUAGUACACAAAAGUUAUAAAAAGUGAGCUGACAUUGUUGCUUAAAUAUAUUUAGAGAUAAAAGUCCAACUUACAGUUUGCUUCCUGAUUUUGAAAACAAAAAUAUCUUUUUCACGUGGUGGUUAUGUUAGCCACAGAAGAAAUCUGCCUUGAAGUUGACUUAUCUUAAACGAUGUGUAAAAUACAAACGAACUAUUCCGAAACACCUGGACAGAAAAUCAAUAAAAAAAUGCAUUUGUCUCCCUUGAAGUAAAACUAUGGUUUACAAAUUAAACUGCAGUUGGAAUAUUCUUCAAACAAUAUUUAAAACUAUUAAAUAUGUUUGGAUUUGUAUGCAGGUAUGGCAUUAAAAUUCGAACGAAGUAAAGCGGUUGCUCCCAAAUGAUCCGGCAACUGAAAUUGAAAUAUAGAUUGUCUUUAUCGUUUAAACGUUGUUUUUUUUCAAAAUGACAAGUUCGUAUUUGAAAUAAAUUAAACUGGCAUUUUUAAGAACUUCACUGACCGAGAUCGUCCUGAAUAAUAAUGCAUGAAACAUUAACC